rnacentral:rRNA from 1 species
CGAACCGUGCAAACGUUGUUCGGAAUCACUGGGCUUAAAGGGCGCGUAGGCGGACUCGCCAGUCUGUGGUGAAAGCCCCCGGCUCAACCGGGGAAGUGCCGUGGAUACUGCGAGUCUGGAGGAGGGUAGGGGCAUCUGGAACGCUGGGUGGAGCGGUGAAAUGCGUUGAUAUCCAGCGGAACUCCGGUGGCGAAGGCGAGGUGCUGGACCCUUUCUGGCGCUGAUGCGCGAAAGCCAGGGGAGCAAACGGGAUUAGAUACCCCGGUAGUCCUGGCCCUAAACGUUGAGGACUAGGUAGUGGACUUACAUGGGUUCACUGUCGAAGCAAAAGUGCUAAGUCCUCCGCCUGGGGAGUAUGGUCGCAAGGCUG